ACUUCUCGUUAUUUUCCGAUGCUGGGGAUCAAGCCGACAGUACUCGAGAUGAAAGUCAAGCAUUCUACCACUGACCGACACACCCUCCUCACUGCAGCGUCCAGAAGGAGGGAAUACUUCUAUGAAUAUCACUCCAUCUCCUAAUGCAGAGCACCAGAAACUUCAUUUUUCCUAAAGUGAAACUGCUCCUGAAGUAAGCCCAUGCAUCAGGGCCUUCUUAGAAUGCAGAAUGUCAGGCAGUCCCUGCUCGGAGACUUCAAGAUAUGAGGAAUGGAAGCCUUAUAAAUGUUAGGUCGUGCCCCUUGGUCACAUACCUGUAAGUUGGAAGAGCUGGGAUGAUGGUGAUGACGAUGGAGGUCAUGUCAGUGAUGAUGAAGA